rnacentral:rRNA from 1 species
GACAGAGGAUGCAAGCGUUAUCCGGAAUGAUUGGGCGUAAAGCGUCUGUAGGUGGCUUUUUUAAGUCUGCCGUCAAAUCCCAGGGCUUAACCCUGGACAGGCGGUGGAAACUACCAAGCUGGAGUACGGUAGGGGCAGGGGGAAUUUUCCGGUGGAGCGGGUGAAAUGCGUAGAGAUCGGAAAGAACACCAACGGCGAAAGCACUCUGCUGGGCCGACACUGACAUUGAGAGACGAAAGCUAGGGGAGCGAAAGGG